ACCCCUGUAAGCAGGGAAGGCGCCCCUUUGGCCGCUGCUUUUUGUGAGCCCAGCUCCAUUUGCCCAGUCUGCCCGCCUCUGUGACCCUCCGCAGCACCGGCUGGAGCUCCGCAGCGCAUUGGCAUGGGAGCGGCUGCAGAAGAAAGAAGAAGCAGUGAGUGGGACUCCGGGAGGCAACAGCGAGCAAGAGGAGGAAGGGGAAGCCUGUGCAUGGGGGCGAAAGAGAGAGGCUCUCUGGGCAAAAGCACCUCCCUGUCAGCAGGGGCACAGUCACAUUUCGGUAGAGCGCUGCCGGCACCUUGGGUGACCAGGCCGGCUUUGUGCUGGGCGACCUCCCUGUAAGCAGGGCUCGGGUCUUUGCUGUAGUUGGCCUUUUGCCUUGUUGCUCCUUUGGCUGCCUGGGGAGCGUGGCCCCCCGUACAGAGGGCAAGAGCCACCUCCCCGCACCCGAGUGGGAAAUGGAGCUCGCUGGACCCCAA